rnacentral:tRNA from 1 species
GCCGGUGUAGCUCAGUUGGUAGAGCAACGGUCUUGUAAACCGUAGGUCACCAGUUCAAAUCUGGUCACCGGCUCCA